rnacentral:rRNA from 1 species
UACGAACUGUGCAAACGUUAUUCGGAAUCACUGGGCUUAAAGGGUGCGUAGGCGGCUAUAAGGGUCAGAUGUGAAAUCCCACAGCUCAACUGUGGAACUGCGUUUGAAACCGUAUAGCUUGAGGAAGUCAGAGGUAAGCGGAACUGAUGGUGGAGCGGUGAAAUGCGUUGAUAUCAUCAGGAACACCGGUGGCGAAGGCGGCUUACUGGGACUUUUCUGACGCUGAGGCACGAAAGCUAGGGGAGCGAACGGG